rnacentral:rRNA from 1 species
CCUACGGGUGGCAGCAGUGGGGAAUUUUGCGCAAUGCUCGUAAGAGUGACGCAGCGACGCCGCGUGAAUGACGAAGGCCUUCGGGUCGUAAAGUUCUUUCGACAGGGAAGAAAAUGCAUAUAAGUAACUGUGUCUGUAUUGCCGGUCCCUGUAUAAGCAGCUCCGGCUAACUCCGUGCCAGCAGCCGCGGUAAUACGGAGGGGGUGAGCGUUGUUCGGAGUGACUGGGCGUAAGGAGCACGUAGGCGGUGUUGUAAGUCAUUAGGCAAAGACUAGAGCUCAACUUUAGUAAGGCUAGUGAUACUAUAAUGCUAGAAUGUCAGAGAGGAUUGCAGAAUUCCUGGUGUAGCGGUGAAAUGCGUAGAUAUCAGGAGGAAUACCGUUAGCGAAGGCGGCAAUCUGGCUGGAAACUGACGCUGAGGUGCGAAAGCGUGGGUAGCAAACAGGAUUAGAUACCCGAGUAGUC